rnacentral:rRNA from 1 species
GCAGAGGCUGUAGCUGAUGCCAACAAAGCAAUUGAACUUGAUCCUUCGAUGCAUAAAGCAUACCUUCGGAAGGGCUCUGCUUGCAUCAAGCUGGAGGAAUACCAAACUGCAAAGGCUGCUCUUGAAGUGGGUUCUUCUUAUGCAUCUGGUGACUCGAGGUUUACUCGUCUGAUGAAGGAGUGUGAUGAUCGUAUUGCUGAGGAGGCUAGCCAGGUGCCAGUAAAGAAUGCCGCUGCGGCUGCUUCGGGGGCAUCUUCCGGGGCUACAACUGUGGCUACUGAAGCUGAGGACCAGGAUGGUGCAAAUAUGGAGAAUGCACAGCCAACGAUGGAAGUGCCAAGCAAGCCCAAAUACAGGCAUGACUACUACAAUACUCCUACAGAAGUGGUACUGACUAUAUUUGCUAAGGGUGUUCCAGCUGACAGCGUGGUUGUUGACUUUGGUGAACAGAUGCUGAGUGUCUCAAUUGAACUUCCCGGUGAGGAACCAUACCAUUUUCAGCCUCGUCUGUUUUCAAAGAUCGUCCCAGAUAAGUGCAAGUAUACUGUGUUGUCUACAAAGGUUGAAAUGCGCCUUGCAAAAGCUGAGCCAGUAACUUGGACAUCAUUGGAUUAUACUGGUAAACCAAAGGCUCCUCAGAAGAUAAAUGUACCAGCUGAAUCAGCCCAGAGGCCAUCUUAUCCGUCAUCAAAAUCCAAAAAGGACUGGGAUAAGCUUGAAGCUGAAGUGAAAAAACAGGAGAAGGAUGAAAAACUUGAUGGUGAUGCUGCAUUGAACAAAUUUUUCCGUGAAAUUUACAGUGAUGCUGAUGAAGAUAUGCGUAGAGCAAUGAUGAAGUCUUUUGUGGAGUCUAAUGGAACCGUUCUCUCAACCAACUGGAAGGAUGUCGGGAAAAAGACGGUUGAAGGAAGCCCUCCUGAUGGAAUGGAGCUCAAGAAGUGGGAGUAUUAA